CCUACGGGGGGCAGCAGUCGAGAAUCAUUCACAAUGGGGGAAACCCUGAUGGUGCGACGCCGCGUGGGGGAAUGAAGUUCUUCGGAUUGUAAACCCCUGUCAUGUGGGAGCAAAUUAAAAAGAUAGUACCACAAGAGGAAGAGACGGCUAACUCUGUGCCAGCAGCCGCGGUAAUACAGAGGGCUCACGCGUUGUUCGGAAUCACGGGGCGUAAAGCGUGCGUAGGCUGUUUCGUAAGUCGUGUGUGAAAGGCGCGGGCUCAACCCGCGGACGGCACAUGAUACUGCGAGACUAGAGUAAGGGAGGGGGAACCGGAAUUCUCGGUGUAGCAGUGAAAUGCGUAGAUAUCGAGAGGAACACUCGUGGCGAAGGCGGGUUCCUGGACAUUAACUGACGCUGAGGCACGAAGGCCAGGGGAGCGAAAGGGAUUAGAUACCCUAGUAGUC
rnacentral:rRNA from 1 species